rnacentral:rRNA from 1 species
GACAGAGGGUACAACCGUUGCUCGGAAUCACUGGGCGUAAAGGGCGUGUAGGCGGGCAGAUAAGUCGGGCGUGAAAUCCCCAGGCUCAACCUGGGAACUGCACUCGAAACUGUUUGUCUUGAGUAUCGGAGAGGAAAGCGGAAUACCUGGUGUAGAGGUGAAAUUCGUAGAUAUCAGGUGGAACACCAGUGGCGAAGGCGGCUUUCUGGACGAUAACUGACGCUGAGACGCGAAAGCGUGGGGAGCAAACAGG